rnacentral:ncRNA from 1 species
ACAAUGAUACUUCUGUACGCAACUCGGUGAGAACCACGGAGGGUUAGAGUCCCAUGA